GGUAAGAGCCAUCGUGCGGUGGCUGUAGCCUGGUUCCUUGGCGUGCCCAGCGUGCGGGUGCUCCUUAUUGUCUCUAGCUCCCUUUGCAAAGAUACAGGCCAGGGGAAUUGCAGAGUUUAUGCUAUGAAAUGAAAGAUGAAAAUCCAACUUUCCUACUUCCCAGUCAGGUAUGAUCUUUGAUCUUUGUUAUUUCAAGUUAGUUGAAAGUUGCUCUUAAAUCCUUGGGCUUACCAAAUG
rnacentral:lncRNA from 1 species